GAUGAACGCUGGCGGCGUGCUUAACACAUGCAAGUCGAACGGAAAGGCCCAAGCUUGCUUGGGUACUCGAGUGGCGAACGGGUGAGUAACACGUGGGUGAUCUGCCCUGCACUUCGGGAUAAGCCUGGGAAACUGGGUCUAAUACCGGAUAGGACCACUUCUUGGAUGUUGUGGUGGAAAGUUUUUUCGGUGUGGGAUGAGCUCGCGGCCUAUCAGCUUGUUGGUGGGGUAAUGGGCUACCAAGGCGUCGACGGGUAGCCGGCCUGGGAGGGUGUACCGGCACAUUGGGGCUGAGAUACGGGCCAGACGCCUACGGGAGGCAGCAGUGGGGAAAAAUGCACAAUGGGGGCAAGCCUGAUGGAGCGACGCCGCGUGGGGGGUGACGGCCUUCGGGUUGGAAACUCCUUUCGCUAGGGACGAAGCGUUUUGUGACGGUACCUGGAGAAGAAGCACCGGCUAACUACGUG
rnacentral:rRNA from 1 species